rnacentral:rRNA from 1 species
CCAAUAGCGUAUAUUAAAGUUGUUGCAGUUAAAAAGCUCGUAGUUGAACUUCGGGGUCUACCCAUUGGUCAGGCUUAAUUGUCUGCACUGGUGAGAUGGAUCUCUACCUUCUGAGGAACUUUCAUGCCAUUUAUUUGGUGUGAUGGGAAAUCAGGACUGUUACUCUGAAAAAAUUAGAGUGUUUAAAGCAGACUAUCGUCUGAAUACAUUAGCAUGGAAUAAUGAAAUAGGACGGACUGAUUCUAUUUCGUUGGUUUCUAGGAUCACCGUAAUGAUUAAUAGGGAUAGUUGGGGGCAUUAGUAUUCAAUUGUCAGAGGUGAAAUUCUUGGAUUUAUUGAAGACUAACUACUGCGAAAGCAUUUGCCAAGGAUGUUUUCAUUAAUCAAGAACGAAAGUUAGGGGAUCGAAGACGAUCAGAUACCGUCGUAGUCUUAACCAUAAACUAUGCCGACUAGGGAUCGGACGAAGUUAAUUUUAUAAUGACGCGUUCGGCACCUUACG